GGCAGCACGAUGUAGCAAUACAUUGGUGGCGACCGGCGCACGGGUGAGUAACGCGUAUGCAACCUACCUAUCAGAGGGGAAUAACCCGGCGAAAGUCGGACUAAUACCGCAUAAAACAGGGGUUCCACAUGGAAAUAUUUGUUAAAGAAUUAUCGCUGAUAGAUGGGCAUGCGUUCCAUUAGAUAGUUGGUGAGGUAACGGCUCACCAAGUCCACGAUGGAUAGGGGUUCUGAGAGGAAGGUCCCCCACACUGGUACUGAGACACGGACCAGACUCCUACGGGAGGCAGCAGUGAGGAAUAUUGGUCAAUGGGCGAGAGCCUGAACCAGCCAAGUCGCGUGAAGGAUGAAGGAUCUAUGGUUUGUAAACUUCUUUUAUAUGGGAAUAAAGUGAGGAACGUGUUCCUUUUUGUAUGUACCAUAUGAAUAAGCAUCGGCUAACUCCGUGCCAGCAGCCGCGGUAAUACGGAGGAUGCGAGCGUUAUCCGGAUUUAUUGGGUUUAAAGGGUGCGUAGGUGGUUAAUUAAGUCAGCGGUGAAAGUUUGUGGCUCAACCAUAAAAUUGCCGUUGAAACUGGUUGACUUGAGUAUAUUUGAGGUAGGCGGAAUGCGUGGUGUAGCGGUGAAAUGCAUAGAUAUCACGCAGAACUCCGAUUGCGAAGGCAGCUUACUAAACUAUAACUGACACUGAAGCACGAAAGCGUGGGGAUCAAACAGGAUUAGAUACCCUGGUAGUCCACGCAGUAAACGAUGAUUACUAGCUGUUUG
rnacentral:rRNA from 1 species